GUGCUCCCUUCGGCAGCACAAAUACUCAAAUUGGAACGAUACAGAGAAGAUUAGCAUGGCCCCUGGGCAAGGAUGACAUGCAAAUUCGUGAAGCUGCCCAUAUUUUU